AUUGAACGCUGGCGGCAGGCCUAACACAUGCAAGUCGGACGGUAGCACAGAGAGCUUGCUCUUGGGUGACGAGUGGCGGACGGGUGAGUAAUGUCUGGGGCUCUGCCCGAUAGAGGGGGAUAACCACUGGCAACGGUGGCUAAUACCGCAUAACGUCGCAAGACCAAAGAGGGGGACCUUCGGGCCUCUCACUAUCGGAUGAACCCAGAUGGGAUUAGCCAGUAGGCGGGGGAAUGGCCCACCUAGGCGACGAUCCCUAGCUGGUCUGAGAGGAUGACCAGCCACACUGGAACUGAGACACGGUCCAGACUCCUACGGGAGGCAGCAGUGGGGAAUAUUGCACAAUGGGCGCAAGCCUGAUGCAGCCAUGCCGCGUGUAUGAAGAAGGCCUUCGGGUUGUAAAGUACUUUCAGCGGGGAGGAAGGCGGUGAGGUUAAUAACCUUGCCGAUUGACGUUACCCGCAGAAGAAGCACCGGCUAACUCCGUGCCAGCAGCCGCCGUAA
rnacentral:rRNA from 1 species